AACGCCGCGUGAGCGAAGAAGGCCUUCGGGUCGUAAAGCUCUGUUGUUAGGGAAGAACAAGUACCGGAGUAACUGCCGGUACCUUGACGGUACCUAACCAGAAAGCCACGGCUAACUACGUGCCAGCAGCCGCGGUAAUACGUAGGUGGCAAGCGUUGUCCGGAAUUAUUGGGCGUAAAGCGCGCGCAGGCGGUCCUUUAAGUCUGAUGUGAAAGCCCACGGCUCAACCGUGGAGGGUCAUUGGAAACUGGGGGACUUGAGUGCAGAAGAGGAGAGUGGAAUUCCACGUGUAGCGGUGAAAUGCGUAGAGAUGUGGAGGAACACCAGUGGCGAAGGCGACUCUCUGGUCUGUAACUGACGCUGAGGCGCGAAAGCGUGGGGAGCAAACAGGAUUAGAUACCCUGGUAGUCCACGCCGUAAACGAUGAGUGCUAAGUGUUAGAGGGUUUCCGCCCUUUAGUGCUGCAGCUAACGCAUUAAGCACUCCGCCUGGGGAGUACGGCCGCAAGGCUG
rnacentral:rRNA from 1 species